CGAGCGAGCGGAACCACAGAUUUACUUCGGUAAUGACGUUGGGACAGCUGAGCGGCGGAUGGGUGAGUAACACGUGGGGAACCUGCCCCUAAGUCUGGGAUACCAUUUGGAAACAGGUGCUAAUACCGGAUAAUAAAGCAGAUCGCAUGAUCAGCUUUUGAAAGGCGGCGUAAGCUGUCGCUAAGGGAUGGCCCCGCGGUGCAUUAGCUAGUUGGUAAGGUAACGGCUUACCAAGGCGACGAUGCAUAGCCGAGUUGAGAGACUGAUCGGCCACAUUGGGACUGAGACACGGCCCAAACUCCUACGGGAGGCAGCAGUAGGGAAUCUUCCACAAUGGACGCAAGUCUGAUGGAGCAACGCCGCGUGAGUGAAGAAGGUUUUCGGAUCGUAAAGCUCUGUUGUUGGUGAAGAAGGAUAGAGGUAGUAACUGGCCUUUAUUUGACGGUAAUCAACCAGAAAGUCACGGCUAACUACGUGCCAGCAGCCGCGGUAAUACGUAGGUGGCAAGCGUUGUCCGGAUUUAUUGGGCGUAAAGCGAGCGCAGGCGGAAAAAUAAGUCUAAUGUGAAAGCCCUCGGCUUAACCGAGGAACUGCAUCGGAAACUGUUUUUCUUGAGUGCAGAAGAGGAGAGUGGAACUCCAUGUGUAGCGGUGGAAUGCGUAGAUAUAUGGAAGAACACCAGUGGCGAAGGCGGCUCUCUGGUCUGCAACUGACGCUGAGGCUCGAAAGCAUGGGUAGCGAACAGGAUUAGAUACCCUGGUAGUCCAUGCCGUANACGAUGAGUGCUAAGUGUUGGGAGGUUUCCGCCUCUCAGUGCUGCAGCUAACGCAUU
rnacentral:rRNA from 1 species